UACAGAGGUCCCAAGCGUUGUUCGGAUUCAUUGGGCGUAAAGGGUGCGUAGGUGGCGCCGUAAGUCGGGUGUGAAAUUUCGGAGCUUAACUCCGAACUGCAUUCGAUACUGCGUGCUUGAGGACUUGGAGGAGGAGACGUGGAAGUUCGAUGGUGGUAGCUAGUGAAAUGCGUAGAGAAUCAUGAGGAAGACCAGUGGCGAAGGCGGGUCGA
rnacentral:rRNA from 1 species